AUUUAAAUAGCUUAUAUUAGAGUUUAAUAUUGAAGAUAUUAAGGAGAUAAAAUUAUCUUUAAAUA
rnacentral:tRNA from 1 species